rnacentral:tRNA from 11 species
GGCCCGCUAGCUCAAUGGCAGAGCAACUGACUCUUAAUCAGUAGGUUCUCGGUUCGACCCCGAGGCGGGUCACCA